UUAAGCGACUAAGCGUACACGGUGGAUGCCUAGGCAGUCAGAGGCGAUGAAGGGCGUGCUAAUCUGCGAAAAGCGUCGGUAAGGUGAUAUGAACCGUUAUAACCGACGAUACCCGAAUGGGGAAACCCAGUGCAAUUCGUUGCACUAUUGCAUGGUGAAUACAUAGCCAUGCAAGGCGAACCGGGGGAACUGAAACAUCUAAGUACCCCGAGGAAAAGAAAUCAACCGAGAUUCCCCCAGUAGCGGCGAGCGAACGGGGAGGGGCCCAGAACCUGAAUCAGCGUAUGUGUUAGUGGAAGCGUCUGGAAAGUCGCACGGUACAGGGUGAUAGUCCCGUACACAAAAAUGCCUAUGUUGUGAGUUCGAUGAGUAGGGCGGGACACGUGACAUCCUGUCUGAAUAUGGGGGGACCAUCCUCCAAGGCUAAAUACUCCUGACUGACCGAUAGUGAACCAGUACCGUGAGGGAAAGGCGAAAAGAACCCCGGCGAGGGGAGUGAAACAGAACCUGAAACCGUGUACGUACAAGCAGUGGGAGCACCUUCGUGGUGUGACUGCGUACCUUUUGUAUAAUGGGUCAGCGACUUAUAUUUUGUAGCAAGGUUAACCGAAUAGGGGAGCCGUAGGGAAACCGAGUCUUAACUGGGCGUCUAGUUGCAAGGUAUAGACCCGAAACCCGGUGAUCUAGCCAUGGGCAGGUUGAAGGUUGGGUAACACUAACUGGAGGACCGAACCGACUAAUGUUGAAAAAUUAGCGGAUGACUUGUGGCUGGGGGUGAAAGGCCAAUCAAACCGGGAGAUAGCUGGUUCUCCCCGAAAGCUAUUUAGGUAGCGCCUCGUGAACUCAUCUUCGGGGGUAGAGCACUGUUUCGGCUAGGGGGUCAUCCCGACUUACCAAACCGAUGCAAACUCCGAAUACCGAAGAAUGUUAUCACGGGAGACACACGGCGGGUGCUAACGUCCGUCGUGAAGAGGGAAACAACCCAGACCGCCAGCUAAGGUCCCAAAGUCAUGGUUAAGUGGGAAACGAUGUGGGAAGGCACAGACAGCCAGGAUGUUGGCUUAGAAGCAGCCAUCAUUUAAAGAAAGCGUAAUAGCUCACUGGUCGAGUCGGCCUGCGCGGAAGAUGUAACGGGGCUAAACCAUGCACCGAAGCUGCGGCAGGGGACGGAUCACUUAAAACGCUUAACGUGACGGCAAAGCCGGCAUGUUCAAGCCACACUAAACGUUGAGUUGGCCGGUGUGCUGACAAACGAACAGGCGUUUUAAGGAUACGUUCGUUGGGUAGGGGAGCGUUCUGUAAGCCGUUGAAGGUGGCCUGUGAGGGUUGCUGGAGGUAUCAGAAGUGCGAAUGCUGACAUAAGUAACGAUAAUGCGGGUGAAAAACCCGCACGCCGGAAGACCAAGGGUUCCUGUCCAACGUUAAUCGGGGCAGGGUGAGUCGACCCCUAAGGCGAGGCUGAAAAGCGUAGUCGAUGGGAAACAGGUUAAUAUUCCUGUACUUGGUGUUACUGCGAAGGGGGGACGGAGAAGGCUAGGCUAGCCGGGCGACGGUUGUCCCGGUUUAAGCAUGUAGGCGGAGUGACCAGGUAAAUCCGGUUGCUUAUCAACGCUGAGGUGUGAUGACGAUGCACUACGGUGCAGAAGUAGUUGAUGCCAUGCUUCCAGGAAAAGCCUCUAAGCAUCAGGUAACAUGAAAUCGUACCCCAAACCGACACAGGUGGUCAGGUAGAGAAUACUCAGGCGCUUGAGAGAACUCGGGUGAAGGAACUAGGCAAAAUGGUGCCGUAACUUCGGGAGAAGGCACGCUGGCAUUAGGUAAAGGGACUUGCUCCCGGCGCCGAAGCCAGUCGCAGAUACCAGCUGGCUGCAACUGUUUAAUAAAAACACAGCACUGUGCAAACACGAAAGUGGACGUAUACGGUGUGACGCCUGCCCGGUGCUGGAAGGUUAAUUGAUGGGGUCAGCCGCAAGGCGAAGCUCUUGAUCGAAGCCCCAGUAAACGGCGGCCGUAACUAUAACGGUCCUAAGGUAGCGAAAUUCCUUGUCGGGUAAGUUCCGACCUGCACGAAUGGCGUAAUGAUGGCCAGGCUGUCUCCACCCGAGACUCAGUGAAAUUGAACUCGCUGUGAAGAUGCAGUGUACCCGCGGCAAGACGGAAAGACCCCGUGAACCUUUACUAUAGCUUGACACUGAACAUUGAGCCUUGAUGUGUAGGAUAGGUGGGAGGCAUAGAAGUGUGGACGCCAGUCUGCAUGGAGCCAACCUUGAAAUACCACCCUUUAAUGUUUGAUGUUCUAACUCGGCCCCGUAAUCCGGGGUGAGGACAGUGUCUGGUGGGUAGUUUGACUGGGGCGGUCUCCUCCCAAAGAGUAACGGAGGAGCACGAAGG
rnacentral:rRNA from 1 species